rnacentral:rRNA from 1 species
UGGGGAAUUUUGGACAAUGGGCGCAAGCCUGAUCCAGCAAUGCCGCGUGAGUGAAGAAGAGCCUUCGGGUUGUAAAGCUCUUUUGUCAGGGAAGAAACGAGUGAGUCCUAAUAUGAGCUUGCUAAUGACGGUACCUGAAGAAUAAGCACCGGCUAACUACGCUG